ensembl:lncRNA
AAGAGGUGAGUGAUAUCUGCUACCCCUGUGUGUAUGAGAGGGAAGAAUUACUGUGGAAGAUAUACUUGCCAUUUUUUUUUCUUCUCAAGAAGAUAGCAAAGGAGUGUCUCCUCCAUCAGCUUUGCCAGGAAGUCCUGAUGUGGUGCUCUCCUGUGGGCCACUAUUUGGAACUCCCUGCAGCAGCGGCCCACCUGGCCUCUAAGCCGAGCUGUUAUGGUCCCCUCUCAGUUUUCAAACAGAAAAUAGAGAGCAGCUCAUUAGAUGCCUCUGCGUGCAUCCACCUUGGUGCUUGCAGAGAGAAGAAAGGCCUGUGUGUUAAGAAGCAUCCUCUGGAAACUGAUACGGCCCAUAGAGUUGUGAGGUAGCCCUGGGCCCAAGAAGUGUCUAUGGAGCUUUCUGCAGAAGCAACCCUGCCAGGGACUGCUCAGCAGGGAGGGGCAGGGAACAAGAGCAGGAAAGAAUUUGACCUGAUAGCAGUCCCCACUGGGAAAACAGAGCGUGAUCAGCACAGUUUGUGGGAGAGUUGGUGAGAAUUCACGUGGCCCCUUUUGUUUCUGUGGGAGUCAGUACCUAAAUGCCUUUGCAAAGUCAAUCUGUGAUCUUGAACUGAACACAUCAUGCUGAUUGAGCUGUACAUGUGGGUUAUUCCUGGAAAACUGGCCUGGAAAACUAAAUGCCCUCUGAGACCAGGCUUUGAAAUCUGUUCACCCAGACAGUACUGUUAAUGAAAACAGAGAGAGAUGAACAAGGCCCUCCACCCUUUAGAAGAUGAAACAAUGUGAUCUUCACCACCCAUCAUCUGUUUCAGAUUCUGAAAAGUUUUUUAGUGAAUAAGAAGAUAUAAAGUUUGGAUGCCACAAAUCUGAUUAAGCUAUUGACUUGAGGCAUAAACUUUUAUUUUCACUUCAAGCUAUUAACAUGUGCAGCAAGCACUUUACACAAACCUGAAUGGAUUCCCUGUGUGAAUAACUGCUGUUCAGAAUGAGGAGGAGCUAAAAAAUUUUGCUUUUCUUGAUAACAAAGCAUUAUCAGAAUGACAUUUGCAUCUGGUAACAGAAUAACAGUCCGCCUCUCCAGCUGCAAAUACUGAUUCUCUACUGACACAAACUGAAGUCCUACUCACAUGGCCAGGAGAUGGAUACAGUCUGCUCUAAGACAAGUUCAUAACUUCUAGUGUGUACUCUGAACUGCACUAAAUCCCAAGUUUGAGUUCUGAUCGUCAAUUCACAAAACAGCUAUUGCACAAGAUGGCAACAUAGCUCAUUAGUUAAGAAACAAUGUGCUGCUUUGAGAUAAAAUCUUGAUCCAUUUGUUAGGAAGCUUACAUUUUUUGGAAGGGUCAAGUUUCUCAGUUAUGCUUAAUGUACAAGGAUGGAUAGGGACCAAUUAACAGAAGGAUUUAAGCUUUCUAAACCUGGUGGUACUCCAGCACUAAUAAUUAUUACUUCCUUGACCUGUAAUAGUGCUUACUGUUGAUUUUUGCUUCUUGUGUUAAGCAGAAGUGCCAUUGAAGCUGAGAGUCUACAAGUGAGAAAUGUGCAUGUAAGAUGUUUUUCAAAGUGACCUAGGUCCUACUGACCAGCUGGGAUACAGGAGUGGGCACAAGUAACUGCCAGGUUCUCUGUGAUAACCAACACCCUGAGAGCAGAGUGCUGCUACCCUGCCAUUCAGACCUGUGGGGCACCUUUCGGCUGAUGUCCUCGCUGCCCUGAGCCUGAGUCUUGGAGUUUCUUCCACUGUCUGGAGGCUAGAGCCACUGAGUGGCCUUUUGGGCUCCGUUUUUAUGCCACAGUCCUCUCAUAGUGCAUCUGUUAUCAGAAAUUUUUAAAUGCCAUACCAAGCCUAUGCUUAAUUUAAUCCAAUAAACCUCAACCAUGGAAUAUAUGUAACUGUCUUUCAUGCUGCCACUGAUAUGGAAGAAAUGAGCGCUGGAGAACAGUUUACUCUUCUUGUCCAUAGACUUUGUAUAGUACAAACGCUCUAGCUGCUGAAGAGUGUACUCCAGUGUUCAACAUCAUGAGAGUUUGCCAUGAUACUUAGUACAGGCGGCUGUCGACUCCGAAACUUCAUGUCUGUGGGAACCAGCAAACUCAUGUGAUGCCUCCCACCUUAACAAGGAUCACUUGUUAGAAUAUUUGCUUUUACUUCUGUACUGAGAAGUAAAAAGUCAUGUUUUUCAAGACAUGUAGCAAACGCAAUCAUGCUGAUACUUGAAGCUGAGGAGUUUCAUUUCCUCGAAACUCUUUUCUUUCCCCUGUCCUUGGAAAAGC